AGUGAACGCUGGCGGUAGGCCUAACACAUGCAAGUCGAACGGCAGCACAGUAAGAGCUUGCUCUUACGGGUGGCGAGUGGCGGACGGGUGAGGAAUACAUCGGAAUCUACUUUUUCGUGGGGGAUAACGAAGGGAAACUUACGCUAAUACCGCAUACGACCUACGGGUGAAAGCAGGGGAUCUUCGGACCUUGCGCGAUUGAAUGAGCCGAUGUCGGAUUAGCUAGUUGGCGGGGUAAAGGCCCACCAAGGCGACGAUCCGUAGCUGGUCUGAGAGGAUGAUCAGCCACACUGGAACUGAGACACGGUCCAGACUCCUACGGGAGGCAGCAGUGGGGAAUAUUGGACAAUGGGCGCAAGCCUGAUCCAGCCAUGCCGCGUGUGUGAAGAAGGCCUUCGGGUUGUAAAGCCCUUUUGUUGGGAAAGAAAAGCAGCAGGUUAAUACCGCGCUGUUCUGACGGUACCCAAAGAAUAAGCACCGGCUAACUUCGUG
rnacentral:rRNA from 1 species